UUAUGUACAUACCUACAACACAACAUUAAUGCACUAGAUCCCAUUAGAACUCCGCAUUUAAGCGUGCUCAGGCUAGAGUAGUACUGGAAUGGGUGACCGCCCGACAAGUCCUAGUGUUUUACAUGAC
rfam:Picea glauca, whole genome shotgun sequence.